rnacentral:rRNA from 1 species
AGUGAACGCUGGCGGUAGGCCUAACACAUGCAAGUCGAACGGCAGCACAGUAAGAGCUUGCUCUUACGGGUGGCGAGUGGCGGACGGGUGAGGAAUACAUCGGAAUCUACUUUUUCGUGGGGGAUAACGUAGGGAAACUUACGCUAAUACCGCAUACGACCUACGGGUGAAAGCAGGGGAUCUUCGGACCUUGCGCGAUUGAAUGAGCCGAUGUCGGAUUAGCUAGUUGGCGGGGUAAAGGCCCACCAAGGCGACGAUCCGUAGCUGGUCUGAGAGAAUGGUCGGCCACACGGGAACUGAGACACGGUCCAGACUCCUACGGGAGGCAGCAGUGGGGAAUAUUGGACAAUGGGGGCAAGCCUGAUCCAGCCAUACCGCGUGGGUGAAGAAGGCCUUCGGGUUGUAAAGCCCUUUUGUUGGGAAAGAAAAGCAGCAGGUUAAUACCCCGCUGUUCUGACGGUACCCAAAGAAUAAGCACCGGCUAACUUCGUG